UACGGAGGGUGCAAGCGUUAUCCGGAUUCACUGGGUUUAAAGGGUGCGUAGGUGGGCAGGUAAGUCAGUGGUGAAAUCUCCGGGCUUAACCCGGAAACUGCCGUUGAUACUAUCUGUCUUGAAUAUAGUGGAGGUGAGCGGAAUAUGUCAUGUAGCGGUGAAAUGCUUAGAUAUGACAUAGAACAUCUAUUGCGAAGGCAGCUCGCUACACUAUGAUUGACACUGAGGCACGAAAGCGUGGGGAUCAAACAGG
rnacentral:rRNA from 1 species